rnacentral:rRNA from 1 species
GAUGAACGCUGGCGGCGUGCCUAAUACAUGCAAGUCGAGCGAACAGACGAGGAGCUUGCUCCUCUGACGUUAGCGGCGGACGGGUGAGUAACACGUGGAUAACCUACCUAUAAGACUGGGAUAACUUCGGGAAACCGGAGCUAAUACCGGAUAAUAUAUUGAACCGCAUGGUUCAAUAGUGAAAGACGUUUUUGCUGACACUUAUAGAUGGAUCCGCGCCGCAUUAGCUAGUUGGUAAGGUAACGGCUUACCAAGGCAACGAUGCGUAGCUGACCUGAGAGGGUGAUCGGCCACACUGGAACUGAGACACGGUCCAGACUCCUACGGGAGGCAGCAGUAGGGAAUCUUCCGCAAUGGGCGAAAGCCUGACGCAGCAACGCCGCGUGAGUGAUGAAGGUCUUCGGAUCGUAAAACUCUGUUAUUAGGGAAGAACAAAUGUGUAAGUAACUAUGCACGUCUUGACGGUACCUAAUCAGAAAGCCACGGCUAACUACGUG